UGACAGUUGGGGGGCUCAGGGGUCUCCAACCCUUUAUUCUAUGUAUUUCCUGUAUUUUUUGGGAGGCCCCCACCCAGCCCCUUUUCCCUGGGGGUGUCCCUUGGGAUAACACUGGUAUUCCUGGGGUCCCCAAAUCCCCGUCUCCAGGUGUUCCCUGUGUCCUUUGGGAUGACAGUUGGGGGGCUCAGGGGUCUCCAACCCUUCACUCUGUGUAUUUCCUGUAUCCUUUGGGAGGCCCCCACCCAGCCCCUUUUCCCUGGGGUGUCCCUUGGGAUAACACUGGUAUUCCCGGGGUCCCCAAAUCCCCGUCUCCAGGUGUUCCCUGUGUCCUUUGGGAUGACAGUUGGGGGCUCAGGGGCUCUCCAACCCUUUAUUCUGUGUAUUUCCUGUAUUCUUUGGGGGGCCCCCACCCAGCCCCUUUUCCCCGGGGUGUCCCUUGGGAUAACACUGGUAUUCCCGGGGUCCCCAAAUCCCCGUCUCCGGGUGUUCCCUGUGUCCUUUGGGAUGACAGUUGGGGGGCUCAGGGGCUCUCCAACCCUUCACUCUGUGUAUUUCCUGUAUUCUUUGGGAGGCCCCCACCCAGCCCCUUUUCCUGGGGGUGUCCCUUGGGAUAACACUGGUAUUCCCGGGGUCCCCAAAUCCCCGUCUCCAGGUGUUCCCUGUGUCCUUUGGGAUGACAGUUGGGGGCUCAGGGGCUCUCCAACCCUUUAUUCUGUGUAUUUCCUGUAUUUUUUGGGAGGCCCCCACCCAGCCCCUUUUCCCCGGGGUGUCCCUUGGGAUAACAGCAACAUUCCUGGGGUCCCCAAAUCCCCGUCUCCAGGUGUUCCCUGUGUCCUUUGGGAUGACAGCUGGGGGCUCAGGGGCUCUCCAACCCUUUAUUCUAUGUAUUUCCUGUAUUUUUUGGGAGGCCCCCACCCAGCCCCUUUUCCCCGAGGUGUCCCUUGGGAUAACAACAACAUUCCUGGUUUUUUUUUUUUU